AUGGCCACGGCGAUGUCGGUGUCGGCGGUGUCCCCGGCCGCCACCGCCGUCGCGCGCCCGCGGACGCUCGUCUGCGUGCCGGCGACGGCGCGGGCUCCACGCGAGAUGGCGGCGGAGCUGGCCGCCGCCGCCGCGCUCGGCGCCGACGUCGCGGAGCUCCGCCUCGACCUCCUCGCCGGCUUCGCGCCGCGCAGGGACCUGCCCAUCAUCCUCGCCGAGCCGCGCCCGCUCCCCGCGCUCGUCACCUACAGGCCCAAAUGGGAAGGUGGUGAAUACGAAGGCGACGAUGAGCGAAGGCUGGAGGCGCUAAUGCUGGCAAUGGAGCUGGGAGCUGAAUACGUUGAUAUUGAGCUCAAGGCUGCCGACAAAUUUAUGAGACUUUUGUCUGGGAAGAAACCUGAAAAUUGUAAGCUCAUUGUUUCAUCCCAUAACUAUGAGAAUACUCCAUCAGCAGAGGAGCUUGCAGAUUUGGUGGCUCAGAUACAAGCAACCGGGGCUGAUAUAGUGAAAAUUGCAACCACUGCCACUGAAAUUGUUGAUGUGGCAAGAAUGUUUCAAAUACUUGCACAUUGCCAAGAAAAGCAGGUGCCAAUCAUUGGGCUGGUAAUGAAUGAGAGAGGUUUUAUUUCUCGAGUUCUUUGCCCAAAAUAUGGUGCAUACCUUACUUUUGGGUCUCUCGAAAAAGGAAGAGAAUCCGCACCUGCACAACCAACAGCAGCAGACUUGAUUAAUUUGUACAAUAUCAGGCAAAUAGGCCCAGACACUAAGGUCUUUGGUAUUAUUGGGAAGCCAGUUGGUCACAGUAAGAGCCCAAUUUUGCAUAACGAAGCUUUCAGAUCUGUGGGCUUCAAUGCUGUGUAUGUGCCCUUUUUGGUGGAUGACUUGGCUAAAUUUCUUAAUACAUACUCUUCACCAGACUUUGCUGGCUUCAGUUGCACAAUUCCCCAUAAGGAAGCUGCAGUUAGGUGCUGUGAUGAAGUUGAUCCUAUUGCCAGGGACAUUGGAGCUGUUAAUACAAUGGUGAGAAGACCUGAUGGAAAACUUGUUGGCUAUAAUACUGACUAUGUCGGUGCUAUUUCUGCUAUUGAGGAUGGAAUAAGAGCAUCUCAACAAACAGAUCCAACCACUUCCCCACUGGCUGGAAGACUUUUUGUUGUUAUCGGGGCUGGUGGUGCGGGCAAAGCCCUAGCAUAUGGUGCAAAAGAGAAGGGAGCAAGAGUUGUAAUUGCAAACCGUACUUUUGCACGUGCUCAAGAACUUGGCAACUUAAUUGGCGGACCUGCAUUGACUCUGGCGGAUUUGGAAAAUUACCAUCCAGAGGAAGGGAUGAUUCUUGCAAAUACAACAGCCAUUGGAAUGCAUCCAAAUGUCAAUGAAACUCCUUUAUCUAAGCAAGCACUUAAAUCCUAUGCUGUUGUCUUUGAUGCGGUCUACACACCAAAAGAGACCAGACUUCUCCGUGAAGCUGCUGAAUGUGGAGCCACAGUUGUUAGCGGUCUGGAGAUGUUUAUAAGACAAGCAAUGGGUCAAUUUGAGCAUUUCACGGGCAUGCCAGCUCCAGAUAGGUUGAUGCGUGAUAUUGUUCUGACAAAGACAUAGUAAGGUUUGUCCAAGGAGCAACCUUCCCUUCCAUCUAAAUUUUCUGCAAGAUUGGGUGUGUGUGUUGCCAUGAGUCCUUGUUCCUGUCAUCAAGGUUGAAGAACCUGUUUAAUCUUUGGUUGACAAUGAAAACUUCCAAGCAAUUACAAGUUCGCUGGACAACCCUAAUACCAUGAAGCCUCGUCUGUGAGCGAUUCAUCCAUACUUCUGUGGCCCUUCAAUUUUUUUUUGGUUCAUUUCUAUAUUUGGAUUAAACAGGCAGUUAGCCGUUGGGCCGAUGUAAAUCAGAUGUUCCGGACUGAAACAUUUGUGUGUGUGUGUAGAAAAAUAUAUGAUGCAGUCAGUGUUUCAAGGGGGUAACCUAGGAGGUGUCCGGACAGACCCAGCUCGCCUUGGGCAUCAGUCAUGCCUUGUCGCCUAGGCGUCCAGGUGUACCCAGGUUGCCUUGGGUCGCCUUGUCGCCUUUAAAACACUGGAUGCAGUAAUGGAAAACAAGCUUCUUCCAUUGCACCCAUCAGAAUAGCAGCAGAUUUGAUUCUUCCCUUUCA